AAGCCAGUUCUUUAAGAAGAUCUCUUGUCUUCCUGGUGAUGGCCCCAUGAGGUGACCAUGUACACACAGUCUGAAAGUAGGCUUGGCCCUGGAUGAUUAUCUCCUGGUGAGCAUAAGAGAAGAGAGGCCUGAAUUUGACACCGCUGAGUUGUCCUCAAACCUGCAACCGAGGCAAACUGUCCUGGAAGAGGCUCUGUGUUCUUCCCAUGACAAAUUCACAAGCAGAUUACUUACAAGGCAGGACUGCUGAAGAUCCUUCCUGGGGAUUGCAGUGGUUUACAAAUGAGGUUGAAGUGUCUACCAGGAGCAUUGAACUCGGGCGUUGGGCAGUGGCAGUGGUUAUGACUCUCUGAAGCCAUGGCACCGACAGAGUCCUCCUCUGCCAGGUGAAGCGUUUGGGGUAUUCUCCAGGGUGGGUGGACUGCAGAGAAGUGAGUGUUGAGAAUAACUGAUUCCUCUGCCCAUCCAGGGACUGAAUGAAAGACCCUUCAAAAUGGCUGUGUGGGAAUACUCAGCACCUGUGGAUGUGCUUCUGCAGGAAGUCUGUCUAUCAACUGAAAGGUGAGACAGCGACAUAAUGACAAUGCCCUGUGGAUCAACUCUGAGGGUGGAAAAAACUCAUGCCACAACACACCUCCGAAAGCCCCUCAGUGAAAAUAGAGGUCGACAGAAUUCACACCCGCGUGUUCUGUGUCUUUAAGCUCAAGUGUCUGGAAACACAUUUCUUCUGCAGGUUAUUCACAUGCAGAUUCCUUCUGGUGGUGGGAUGCCCCAGGGUAACCGAGGGCAGAAUUUGGCCCUUUCUGUUUGCUCAGUGGGGCUAAGUGCCGCUUUCUGAGCGGAGUACCUGUGCCUCGGAGCCGCACAGCUGCGAUACGCAAGAGCAGCUUUGGCAUUUCCUGGGUUUCCGUACGGGAGGUGAGUCCCGCGAAAGCUGCAGGCUCUGCGUGGAAGUGAAGCAUGCAAGGGGAAGUGUCGUGCACGGGUUUUGGCCUGAGGGAAUGCAUUUGUGGCAGCUAAGGUAGAAAUAAGGCUUGACAAAUGUAAAAUUAUUUAAACGCUCCCCCCAAGCAUUUCAGUCUGCGGUGCUCUUGUUUGUGUUUCUGUUCCAGAUGAGUGCAAGGCUGCUAGAGAACACAAAAAUUCUCUGCAGUUUGGCAACAGUUGUGUUUGUUGCCUGUGAGAGAAAAUCUCGUUGUUUAAUGUCUGUAAAUAUGAAUUUAACAGCUGACAGAAGCUUAAAACCUUUGGUCUCCAUUUUAAAGACUCUCAGCAUAUAAUUUUUCCGAAUCGGUGCACUCAUUAUUUUUAAGAUGUGAAGUCUUCUCACACUGCUACCAAGAAAUCCCCAAUUGCCAUUUAUGUGCUUAAAACAUCUGCAGGAAACAAAGGUGUUGGGUUGUUUUGCAAUAAUCAGUUCAGUUCUCAUUUCCAUUUGGUAAUUGCUGUGAAAGAUUUACCUGCUGUAACGUAGUUUAUUUUGCCCGCAAACGCCUUUGUUUCUCUGUGUGGCUGCUAAGCCACAGCCCAGAUAUUUACUGUCAAGGAAAUAAAAGCCUCCUCUGCCACUUGGAGGCCCAACCUCAUUGUAACUGAACUGCUCCUCUGGGUCAUCGUAUUGGAGAGUCAACUGUAAGCUUGGUUUCCUGCCACACAGUAAUUUAGCCUGGGACCUUUCAGUCCUUGCAUUAUCUGGCAAGAUUAUACCUACCUGGGAGUGUGCUAAUGUCUCAUCUAUUAUUUGUUUUGAGUGAUUUUUUUUUCACCCAUCAAAGGGUAAAAGGAAAACUUACCUGCUUUUUCAAACAUAGAGUUACCUUCUUGGUUACUCUGGAACAACGAGGCGUCUUUUAAUAAGUUCCUGCUGUGGCUAGAGCUGAGCCCUUCCCUUCUGUUACCUCCCUUGCUCUGCCCAAAACAGUAUUCAAAAUAGAUCACUUGGAACCAGUCGGGAUUGGAGGGGGAAGAAGAAAAGGAAAAGAAUUGCAAACUCAAAUCCCAGAAGGAGAAGUCAGACAGAAAUGCUACUGUCAAAGGGAAAUUGCCAUGGAGGCAAGGAGAUAAUCAAUAGUAAUCAAGCUGGUAGUGCUAAAGUACAGCAGUUUCCCUUAAGACUUGUAUUAUGUUCAUCUGCAGUGGGUCAGAGGCCAGUGCAGACUGAUUGCAAUUGAGGUCAGCUUUUCAGAAAGGAGAUGGGAUGCAUUUGCAGUUUUCAGUAGCUGGAACCUUCUCCAAGGCUGUGGGUGCUAACUACAGCCUGUCACUAUCAGCACUAGCAAGUGGGUUGCUCUUUUCUGUUUCAGCAUGCAUGUGUUUGUGUCCAUGCCACUUUGGAAGCCUUGGGUGAUGUCUGCCAGGUACUUGUACAUGUGCAGUUGUUUGGGAGCUAGGUAGGAAGAGGCCAUGAAUUGGUCUUAAAGCACUGAGAAGUCUGUUGGGGAAUAAUUUCAAGAGUGCUGCUAAAAGCUGUUGUGAGGAGCAGGCACCUGAUGUCUACAGCUCCCAUGCACUGUGCCUCUCACUGUCCAACAGGCAUAUACAAAUAUUGCCAUGUAGGCUCCGUAAAUGAAUUUGAAGCUUUCCACCAGCUAUGUGCUGGAAAUGAGUGCUGCUGCCCUUGUAAAAGAAAUAUCAGGGAAGCUGUGUCACCACAAUAUCAAAGCAUUCUAGAAUUGCCCUUUGCUGCUCUGGGUUUCAGCAUUCGUGGAAGAUAGACGAAGCCAGGCCUGAAAAAUAGAAUCCAUUGAACUGACUUUGUGGAUUUU